rnacentral:rRNA from 1 species
CGCUCGUAGUCGGAUUUCGGGGCAGGUUGCCGGUCUGCCGAUGGGUAUGCACUGGUAGAACUGUCCUUCCUUCCGGAGACGGCGCCUACUCUUAACUGAGCGGGUGUCGGAGACGGAUCGUUUACUUUGAAAAAAUCAGAGUGUUUCAAGCAGGCAGCUCGCUUUUGCAUGGAUUAGCAUGGGAUAAUGAAAUAGGACUUUGGUGCUAUUUUGUUGGUUUCGAACACCGAAGUAAUGAUUAACAGGGACAGUCAGGGGCACUCGUAUUCCGCCGAGAGAGGUGAAAUUCUUAGACCAGCGGAAGACGAACCACUGCGAAAGCAUUUGCCAGGGAUGUUUUCACUGAUCAAGAACGAAAGUUAGGGGAUCGAAGACGAUCAGAUACCGUCGUAGUCUUAACCAUAAACCAUGCCGACUAGGGAUUGGAGGAUGUUCCUAUGUGACUCCUUCAGCACCUUUCGGGAAACUAAAGUCUUUGGGUUCCGGGGGGAGUAUGGUCGCAAGGCUGAAACUUAAAGGAAUUGACGGAAGGGCACCACCA